UUACUUGAGAGUUUGAUCCUGGCUCAGGAUGAACGCUGGCGGCGUGCCUAACACAUGCAAGUCGAACGAAGCACCUUGGGAGAUUCUUCGGAUGAUCUUAUGGUGACUGAGUGGCGGACGGGUGAGUAACGCGUGGGUAACCUGCCCUGUACAGGGGGACAACAGCUAGAAAUGGCUGCUAAUACCGCAUAAGCGCACAGGAAGACAUCUUCCGGUGUGAAAAACUCCGGUGGUACAGGAUGGGCCCGCGUCUGAUUAGCUUGUUGGCGGGGUAACGGCCCACCAAGGCGACGAUCAGUAGCCGGUCUGAGAGGAUGAACGGCCACAUUGGGACUGAGAUACGGCCCAGACUCCUACGGGAGGCAGCAGUGGCUGAACCGAUUGUUCCCGCUUGGGAGCAAAAGAAAAAGUCAAAGGUAAAGAGCUUUGACCUCCACCCGGAUAUUCCUAUGUCCGAACG
rnacentral:rRNA from 1 species